rnacentral:rRNA from 1 species
UACGAAGGGUGCAAGCGUUACUCGGAAUUACUGGGCGUAAAGCGUGCGUAGGUGGUUUGUUAAGUCUGCUGUGAAAUCCCCGGGCUCAACCUGGGAAUGGCAGUGGAUACUGGCAAGCUAGAGUGCGGUAGAGGGUAGUGGAAUUCCCGGUGUAGCGCUAAAAUGCGUAGAGAUCGGGAGGAACACCAGUGGCGAAGGCGGCUACCUGGACCAGCACUGACACUCAGGCACGAAAGCGUGGGGAGCAAACAGG